GACCAACCCACCGGAAACCGAACCAAAACCAGCAGCGGCCGGAGCAGCAGCAGCGAGGAGCCUCGUAUCGAACCGCAACGGGCCGCCCCGUACGCGCGUUCCACGUGGCCGCUACUCCCUCCGCCCCUUCCCACCUCCGACGAAAACACCUGCGGGCUGCGGCCCUGCCCGCCCCGGCCAGAUUGCGCCCGACGGGAUAGGCGUCGUAGAUAAUAAAUCCGGGAGAUCGAAUCCCCGAAUCCGGGUUGCUCCCGCGGAUUGGAUCGUGCGCGGCGGCGGCGGCGGCGGCCAUGGGGGCGAUGGGUUGCCGUCGGGCCGGGGGGUCCGUGGGCUGGCAGUACGUCUUCAAGGAUGAGGAUGAGGAGGACGGGAGCGAGGACGCGCCGCUCCUGGAGGAGAAGGAGGGGGCGGACGAGGACUGGGAUGUCGAGAUGGAGAGGAGGGGGACGAAGAGGAAGGCGCCGCGCUCGUCGCGGCCGCAAAAGCUGCGGUGCGUCGCCACCCUCUGCGCCUCGCCUGCGUCGUCCGAUGCCGGGCCCCCGUCGUGGAGCGCCGUGCCCAAGGGGCGGCGCAGCGGAAACAGGGCCAAGAGGGGCCGCCCCGUCGCCGUGCCCUCGGAAACAGCUGCUCCCGCAGCAGAGGAGGCGACGCCGAGCACCAGCGCCUCGGGCCGCACCAAGGGUAGGAGGGCUUGCCACCAAUGCAAGUCGGGGAUGAGGCAGCAGAUGACCAAGUGUAAGCGAUGCCGCGACAAGAUCUACUGCGGCCGCUGCAUCAAUGAUAUGUACCCGGAGUUGUCGUUGGGCCAGGUUAGACUUCAGUGCCCAUCCUGCCGCGGAAUCUGCAAAUGUAAACGGUGCAACCCCAAGGAGCAGGGUGAACCCAAGAGUUCAGUUUUGAGGAAACGCAACGGCAGUAGAUCAGUAACGAAGAGAAAGAAGGCUAACACCUCAGGUGUAAAGUCAACUAGGUUUCGUAAUGAGGUGACGCAGGCGGAAGCAAAUGACAACUCCUUCCUAAGCUCCAAUGAGAUUAAUAGCACAUGUGUCAAAUUAGACAAGGUAGAUACAUUGGAUGCAAGAGCUGAUGAGAUUGCUUGUGAAACUAAAGUAAAACAUGCUAGAUAUCUGUUGCACUACCUGCUGCCUUGUUUGAGUGACCUGAACAGGGAUCAGAUGGUUGAGAGAGAAAUUGAGGCCAAAAUUCAAGGAUUGGAAUUGUCUGAACUGAGUGUUGAACAGGCUGACUGCCGGAAUGAUGAGAGGAUGUUCUGUGACAAUUGCAGAACUUCGAUCUUUGAUCUGCAUAGAAGCUGUCCAAACUGCUCAUAUGAAUUAUGCAUUGCGUGCUGUAAGGAGCUUCGUGGAAAUAAUCUAGAGGGCUCUUGUCGGGAAGAGCUGGUGUCUUAUCCUAAUAGAGGAAUCGACUAUAUGCAUGGUGGUGAUCCAUCGCCUGAGUUGAUAAACUGCGUACAACCACACUUUUCCAGUUGCCAGCCUAAGACUACUAAGUGGUGUGCUAAUACUGAUGGGACUAUAAAUUGCCCCCCACCUGAACUUGGUGGUUGUGGUGAUAUUGCCCUUAAGUUGAGGCAGAUGUUUCCAAAAGAUUGGUUAAAUAAUCUCGAAAGGGAUGCUCUACAGUUGAGUAAGCAGCUCGAACCUUCGGAUAUUGUCAGCGGAUAUACACAUGAAUGUCCAUGCUGUACUAAACAUGAAAAUGCAAGGCAUGCUGCCACCAGAGAUAAUUCAACAGAUAACUGCCUAUACUGUCCAAAAUCAGAUAAUGAGAAAGCAGAUGAUCUAACUCACUUCCAGAGUCACUGGGUGAAAGGAGAACCUGUUAUUGUUCAAGGGGUACUACAGAAAAUACCACAUUUGAGCUGGGAGCCACCACAUAUGUGGUCUGAAGUACAUGGUGAUAGUACCACCCCUGAUAUGAAAAAUGUGAAGUGUAUUGAUUGUUUAUCAUGUUGUGAGGUCGAGAUACGCACACAAGAUUUCUUCAAUGGAUACUAUUAUGGUCGGGUGUAUCAAAACGAAUGGCCCGAAAUGCUUAAAUUGAAAGACUGGCCUACUUCAAAUCAUUUUGAAGAGCUUUUGCCUUCGCAUGGAGUGGAAUACAUCAAUUCUUUACCCUUUCAACCGUACACAAAUUUGAAAUCUGGUUUGCUAAGUGUUUCCGCAUUGCUUCCCGAUGACAUUCUAAAGAUCGACAUGGGCCCGAAGUCAUACAUAGCUUAUGGCUAUGCACAGGAACUUGGCAGAGGAGAUUCUGUUACGAAGCUUCAUUGUGAUAUAUCUGACGCAGUUAACGUUUUGAUGCAUACUGCACAAGUUGCCCCUUCUAAAGGACAAGAAAAUGCAAUAAAAAACUUGAAAGCAAGACAUGAGGGACAAGAUGAAAAGGAAUGUUGUGGCAAUUUUUCAAUUGAUGGAAGUAAUGCAUGUCACAAAAAUUGCGUGGAUUCAAACCAUACACCCUCUCCUAACUACAGCAAGGACGAUGAGGGAGGUGCUUUAUGGGAUAUUUUCAGGAGGGAGGACGUUCCAGAACUGGAAACGUACCUUCGUAAACAUUCCAAGGAAUUUCGCCAUAUAUAUUGUUCUCCAGUUGAAAAGACAUUUAACCCUCUACACGAUGAAACAUUCUAUCUAACUGAGGAACAUAAAAGGAGACUUAAAGAGGAGCAUGGAGUCGAGCCUUGGACAUUUGUACAAAAACUUGGAGAGGCAGUUUUUAUCCCUGCUGGGUGCCCGCAUCAAGUACGGAAUCUCAAGUCUUGCACGAAAAUUGCUAUAGAUUUUGUAUCACCUGAGAAUGUCCAGGAGUGUGUCAAGUUAACUCAACAAUUCCGUGUGCUUCCUAAGAACCACAGGGCAAAAGAAGAUAAAUUAGAGUGCGUGGCUGAUGAGUUCUACGUCUAGAAUUUGGUGAACUUAUGACUCGGCAAGGUGAUUGUAAUCACUCAUCAUCAAGUUCCCCUUUAGUGCACAAAAGGUGGGAGGGGGGCCUUGCUAGGUCCCUGAUGAUCGCCACCACAGAAGAGUCAACACAUCUUUAAUAUCACAUCAAGUGUUUAUGGUGUCUGCAAUCUUUGGAGUCGAUGGUGCACUUCACUGUGGCUUAGGAAAGCGGUCAUAGUCACUCCACCACCAUUGGAUGACUAGUGAUGAUACCGGGAGUUGACACAUCUCCAACCAUUGCUAGGCCAAUAAGAGGAAGUCAUGCCAAACAAAUCCAUGCUCAGCUCUCAUUUGCACCUCUCCAGACACGUGGCUUUUCUCAACGCGUUCCUCUCCCAAACGCUGACA